rnacentral:rRNA from 1 species
GACGAACGCUGGCGGCGUGCUUAAUACAUGCAAGUGGAGCGACGAACCAGGCUUCGGCCUGGGGCAGAGCCGCGAACGGGUGAGUAACACGUGGGUAACCUGCCUCGAUGACCGGGACAACCCGGGAACCGGGCUAAUACCGGAUGUGCUGUCCCACAUCAGUGGAGACAGGAAAGGAAGCUUCGCCUCCGCAUCGAGAUGGCCCGCGGCCAUUAGCUUGUUGUGUGGUAACGGCUCACCAAGGCUGCGAUGGGUAGCUGGUCUGAGAGGACGAUCAGCCACACUGGGACUGAGACACGGCCCAGACUCCGUACGGGAGGCAGCAGUAGGGAAUCUUGCGCAAUGCGCGAAAGCGUGACGCAGCAACGCCG